rnacentral:rRNA from 1 species
UACGUAGGUGGCGAGCGUUGUCCGGAAUUACUGGGUGUAAAGGGCGCGUAGGCGGGGGAGCAAGUCAGAUGUGAAAUACCGAAGCUCAACUUCGGGGCUGCAUUUGAAACUGUUCAUCUUGAGUGCAGGAGAGGAAAGCGGAAUUCCUAGUGUAGCGGUGAAAUGCGUAGAUAUUAGGAGGAACACCAGUGGCGAAGGCGGCUUUCUGGACUGUAACUGACGCUGAGGCGCGAAAGCGUGGGUAG